rnacentral:piRNA from 1 species
UGUAAUGAAAAGUUUUGUGAUGCUCAUUAU